GAAACAAACUGUCUUGUCGCUUCUCGAUUAUGUCGAGGGGAGGAAAGUCCGGGCAGCAAAGGGCGCCACACUUCCUAACUGGAAGGUCCUUUUGAGGAAACUUGAGAGGAACAGAAAGUGCCACAGAAAAUUAUACAGCCAACCGUCGCCAAGGCUAUGGUUGGUAAAGGUGAAAAUGUGAGGUAAGAGCUCACAGCAUGGCUAGCAAUAGUCGUAGCGGGAAAACCUUGUGGGCUGAAAAGCCAAAUAGGUUGAGGAAUUAGGCGGCUCGUCUAUGCUUCUUUGCUUGCAAAGAGCACCUCAAUGGGUAGGCUGAUUCAGGUGAUACGUGAGUAUCAUCGCAGAUAAAUGACAAGAACCACGAAAGUGGGGACAGAACCCGGCUUAUAGGUUUGUUUCUUUU
rnacentral:RNase_P_RNA from 1 species